rnacentral:rRNA from 1 species
GACGAACGCUGGCGGCGUGCUUAACACAUGCAAGUCGAACGGAAAGACCCGGCGCUUGUGGGGUUCUCGAUUGGCGAACGCGGGAGUAACACGUGAGUAACCUGCCCUUGACUUUGUGAGAACUUCAGGAAACUCGGGCUAAUAUCGGAUAGGAUCUCCUGCUGCAUGGUGGGGGUUGGAAAGUUUCGGCGUUUGGGGCUGGACUCGCGGCUUAUCAGCUUGUUGGUGAGGUAGUGGCUUACCAAGGCUUUGACGGGUAGCCGGCCUGAGAGGGUGACCGGCCACAUUGGGACUGCGAUACGGACCAGUAUCCUACGGGAGGCAGCAGUGGGGAACAUUGCACAAUGGGCGGGCGCCUGAUGCAGCAACGCCGCGUGCGGGAUGACGGCCUUCGGGUUGUGAACAGAUUUCGACUGUGAUGAAGCGUGCGUGACGGUAAUGGGUAAAGAAGCACCGGCUAACUACGUG